UAAUACAUGCAAGUCGAACGCGUCUCCGUUAAUGAUUUUAGGUGCUUGCACUUGAAAGAUUUAACAUUGAGACGAGUGGCGAACUGGUGAGUAACACGUGGGUAACCUGCCCUUGAAGUAGGGGAUAACACUUGGAAACAGGUGCUAAUACCGUAUAACAACCAAAACCACCUGGUUUUGGUUUAAAAGACGGCUUCGGCUGUCACUUUAGGAUGGACCCGCGGCGUAUUAGCUUGUUGGUAAGGUAACGGCCUACCAAGGCGAUGAUACGUAGCCGACCUGAGAGGGUAAUCGGCCACAUUGGGACUGAGACACGGCCCAAACUCCUACGGGAGGCAGCAGUAGGGAAUCUUCCACAAUGGACGAAAGUCUGAUGGAGCAACGCCGCGUGAGUGAUGAAGGGUUUCGGCUCGUAAAACUCUGUUGUUGGAGAAGAACAGGUGUCAGAGUAACUGUUGACAUCUUGACGGUAUCCAACCAGAAAGCCACGGCUAACUACGUGCCAGCAGCCGCGGUAAUACGUAGGUGGCAAGCGUUGUCCGGAUUUAUUGGGCGUAAAGCGAGCGCAGGCGGUUUUUUAGGUCUGAUGUGAAAGCCUUCGGCUUAACCGGAGAAGUGCAUCGGAAACCGGGAGACUUGAGUGCAGAAGAGGACAGUGGAACUCCAUGUGUAGCGGUGAAAUGCGUAGAUAUAUGGAAGAACACCAGUGGCGAAGGCGGCUGUCUGGUCUGUAACUGACGCUGAGGCUCGAAAGCAUGG
rnacentral:rRNA from 1 species